GACGUAGGGCGCGAGCGUUGUCCGGAAUCAUUGGGCGUAAAGCGCGUGUAGGCGGUCCGGUAAGUCGGCUGUGAAAGUCCAGGGCUCAACCCUGGGAUGCCGGUCGAUACUGCCGGACUAGAGUUCGGAAGAGGCGAGUGGAAUUCCCGGUGUAGCGGUGAAAUGCGCAGAUAUCGGGAGGAACACCAAUGGCGAAGGCAGCUCGCUGGGACGUUACUGACGCUGAGAAGCGAAAGCAUGGGGAGCGAACAGG
rnacentral:rRNA from 1 species